CUUCAUAAAUGAACAUAAAACUCAAACUUGAAAUCCACAUGAAUGCAAUUCUAUUUUGGAUAGAAGCAAUUUUGCAAUAUUUAAGUAUUGGCAAAAGGCUUCUAGUAAGUAUCUCACCUUGGUGUUGAGUUUCUCCAUCCCUGGGAACAUCAAGCAGAGCUCAGAGCUGACCAGUUACAAACCAAAGUCUUGAACAAAUUAUGAGGGUCUAUUACUUCUUGUCACAGGCCCACAAGGAGCUUUACAGAAAAAGGGAAGCCAGUUUCUUACCCAUGCUUAG